rnacentral:rRNA from 1 species
AUUGAACGCUGGCGGCAGGCCUAACACAUGCAAGUCGAGCGGUAGCACAGAGAGCUUGCUCUCGGGUGACGAGCGGCGGACGGGUGAGUAAUGUCUGGGAAACUGCCUGAUGGAGGGGGAUAACUACUGGAAACGGUAGCUAAUACCGCAUAAUGUCGCAAGACCAAAGUGGGGGACCUUCGGGCCUCAUGCCAUCAGAUGUGCCCAGAUGGGAUUAGCUAGUAGGUGGGGUAACGGCUCACCUAGGCGACGAUCCCUAGCUGGUCUGAGAGGAUGACCAGCCACACUGGAACUGAGACACGGUCCAGACUCCUACGGGAGGCAGCAGUGGGGAAUAUUGCACAAUGGGCGCAAGCCUGAUGCAGCCAUGCCGCGUGUGUGAAGAAGGCCUUCGGGUUGUAAAGCACUUUCAGCGGGGAGGAAGGCGGUGAGGUUAAUAACCUCAUCGAUUGACGUUACCCGCAGAAGAAGCACCGGCUAACUCCGUGCCAGCAGCCGCGGUAAUACGGAGGGUGCAAGCGUUAAUCGGAAUUACUGGGCGUAAAGCGCACGCAGGCGGUCUGUCAAGUCGGAUGUGAAAUCCCCGGGCUCAACCUGGGAACUGCAUUCGAAACUGGCAGGCUAGAGUCUUGUAGAGGGGGGUAGAAUUCCAGGUGUAGCGGUGAAAUGCGUAGAGAUCUGGAGGAAUACCGGUGGCGAAGGCGGCCCCCUGGACAAAGACUGACGCUCAGGUGCGAAAGCGUGGGGAGCAAACAGGAUUAGAUACCCUGGUAGUCCACGCCGUAAACGAUGUCGAUUUGGAGGUUGUGCCCUUGAGGCGUGGCUUCCGGAGCUAACGCGUUAAAUCGACCGCCUGGGGAGUACGGCCGCAAGGUUAAAACUCAAAUGAAUUGACGGGGGCCCGCACAAGCGGUGGAGCAUGUGGUUUAAUUCGAUGCAACGCGGAGAACCUUACCUGGUCUUGACAUCCACAGAACUUUCCAGAGAUGGAUUGGUGCCUUCGGGAACUGUGAGACAGGUGCUGCAUGGCUGUCGUCAGCUCGUGUUGUGAAAUGUUGGGUUAAGUCCCGCAACGAGCGCAACCCUUAUCCUUUGUUGCCAGCGGUUCGGCCGGGAACUCAAAGGAGACUGCCAGUGAUAAACUGGAGGAAGGUGGGGAUGACGUCAAGUCAUCAUGGCCCUUACGACCAGGGCUACACACGUGCUACAAUGGCAUAUACAAAGAGAAGCGACCUCGCGAGAGCAAGCGGACCUCAUAAAGUAUGUCGUAGUCCGGAUUGGAGUCUGCAACUCGACUCCAUGAAGUCGGAAUCGCUAGUAAUCGUAGAUCAGAAUGCUACGGUGAAUACGUUCCCGGGCCUUGUACACACCGCCCGUCACACCAUGGGAGUGGGUUGCAAAAGAAGUAGGUAGCUUAACCUUCGGGAGGGCGCUUACCACUUUGUGAUUCAUGACUGGGGUG